rnacentral:rRNA from 1 species
UACGUAGGUGGCAAGCGUUGUCCGGAUUUACUGGGCGUAAAGGGAGCGUAGGUGGACUUUUAAGUGAGAUGUGAAAUACCCGAGCUCAACUUGGGUGCUGCAUUUCAAACUGGAAGUCUAGAGUGCAGGAGAGGAGAAGGGAAUUCCUAGUGUAGCGGUGAAAUGCGUAGAGAUUAGGAAGAACACCAGUGGCGAAGGCGCUUCUCUGGACUGUAACUGACGCUGAGGCUCGAAAGCGUGGGGAGCAAACAGG